AACCACCUCAAAAUCACCCCAAAAUCACCUCAGAACCACCAAUCCAUCCUGUUCUCCCUGGCACCAGCCCUUGGAGCAGCGGGACUGAAUUCCAAGAGGGAAAAUCUCCCACCCCGCUGCCAUCCCUGCUCUGCCUGGCAUCCCUCCAGCCCCUCCAGGAGAUGGAAUUUUGCUGGAGAAAACAUCUGGGUGUUUUUAUUUGCAGGAAUUAUUCAGUCCUGGCGAUUUUUGGGUGUUGGCAACCCCAGGAUUCAUCCCCCAGCCCGAGCUCGGAGCUGCCCAAACUCCAAAAUGUUGGAAAAGAGGAAAAACACCCCAAAAACGGCUGUACCCAGCAAAGGUAACCUCAAAAAUUUCAUUUUCCUGCUCCUUCCCAGUGCUGAGCUGGGCCCCCUCUGCCCCACCUGAGCCCCUCUCCUGCCCCACAGGUGACACAGGUGACACAGGUGACGGGGUUUGGGUGGGGGGUGACACUUCCAGCCCUGUGGAAGAGGUGAGAAAAUUCUUCCUGCGCCUCCCAGGGGAGGUUUCCCACCCCAUCUCCUUCCUGGAGGGUCCCCUCAUCCUCCAGAUGACCCCAAAUCCUUGGGGUGACCCCUCCAGAAACCCCAAAUCCUUGGGGUGACCCCUCCAGACGACCCCAAAUCCUUGGGGUGACCCCUCCAGACAACCCCAAAUCCUUGGGGUGACCCCUCCAGAAACCCCAAAUCCUUGGGGUGACCUCCCAGCUGAGUUUAUCCCUCUCCAAAGGUCCCCUCAUCCUCCAAAUUACCCCAAAUCCAUGGGGUGACCUUCCAGGUGAGGUCACCCCCUCCUCCAGACGACCCCAAAUCCUUGGGGUGACCUCCCAGAUGGGGUUACCCCUCCUAAAAAGCUCCUCCAGACAACCCCAAAUCCUUGGGGUGACCUCCCAGGUGAGGUUACCCUUCCUAAAAAGCUCCUCCAGACAGCCCCAAAUCUAUGGGGUGACCUCACCUGGUCAAAUCUAUGGGGUGACCUCCCCACAACCCCAAAUCCUCGGGGUUCCAAGCCCAAGGGUGUCUCCUGCAGCCCCCCUCAUGCCCAGAGCGGGAUUUGGGGUGCCAGGAGCCCUCGUGCCAAGGCUGGGGGUGCCCUGAGGGAUGCCAGGGGGUGCCUGGUUUGGGGAGGUGGGGAGAGGGGUUUGGUUUUUGGGAUGUGAAGGUGAAAGAGGCAGGAGGAAGGACAAGGAAAAAGGGUGAACCCCACCUUGGAACACCUUCCAAGCCUUUGUGGUGACCCCAAACUCCCCAGACCCCAAAUCCAGGAGUUUUGGGUGGGGGUUCUCAGAGCCAAGAAGAAAAUCAGCCCUUUCCAAGCUCAUCCCUGCCCUGGGAAGGGGCUGGGGAGGGGAGGGGGGCACAGAGACCCUGGCAGAGCCCCCAGCCCGGUUUUGGGGGUCCCAGGGAAGCAGCCCCAGCCCCGAGGGCGCUGCCUCCUGCACUGAACAUCUCAAUAGAUGGUUAAAAAUUGGCAUUUCCAAUCAUCGGAGAAUUUAAGAAAAAU